AGGGCUUAACUAAAAGGAGAUAUCCGAGAUUGCUUUAUGGACUCGUAGACCUGGAGAAGCGUGUUAUAUAGCAAAUGGGUCUACUACUAAUUAUAAGGUUCAUGGGGUCAACUGGAGGGGUGGUGGGAACUGAGGGGANNNNNNNNNNNNNNNNNNNNAUACUAUAUAUAUAUAGAGAGAGAGAGAGAGAGAGAGGAGGAGAGGAGGAGGAGAAACUGGGUAAGGGCUUAACUAAAAGGCGAUAUCCGAGAUUGCUUUAUAGACUCGUAGACCUGGAGAAGCGUGUUAUAUAGCAAAUGGGUCUACUACUAAUUAUAAGGUUCAUGGGGUCAACUGGAGGGGUGGUGGGAACUGAGGGGAAGCUUUACGCAAAGAGGUGGUGGCCGAUCCGAUCGUCGGGUUGGAAGUGUGAGAGGGAGCUGAGUUGGAUAUGGGCGAG
rnacentral:lncRNA from 1 species